rnacentral:tRNA from 1 species
GUUAGUAGUUCAACGGUAGAACACUGCACUAGAGUAGCAUUGUCCUGGGUUCGACUCCCAGCUAGGCCA